CCUACGGGCGGCAGCAGUGGGGAAUAUUGGGCAAUGGGCGCAAGCCUGACCCAGCAACGCCGCGUGAAGGAAGAAGGCUUUCGGGUUGUAAACUUCUUUUAUGGAGGACGAAACAAAGGACGGUACUCAAUGAUUAAGCCACGGCUAACUACGUGCCAGCAGCCGCGGUAAUACGUAGGUGGCAAGCGUUAUCCGGAUUUACUGGGUGUAAAGGGCGUGUAGGCGGGAAUGCAAGUCAGAUGUGAAAACCAUGGGCUCAACCCAUGGACUGCAUUUGAAACUGUAGUUCUUGAGUGCUGGAGAGGCAGGCGGAAUUCCGUGUGUAGCGGUGAAAUGCGUAGAUAUAAGGAGGAACACCAGUGGCGAAGGCGGACUGCUGGACAUUAACUGACGGUGAGGCGCGAAAGCGUGGGGAGCAAACAGGAUUAGAUACCCGUGUAGUC
rnacentral:rRNA from 1 species